AUACUUACCUGUCAAUAUUAAUAUGUGAUCACAAAGGCAUAUUAAUUGCAUGAAUUUCAGACCAUUGCACACCGGUUUGGUUUGUGUAUGAUUCUCAAUUACGAGAAUUCAAUUGACCAAUUUGUGGUAGCUGUGGUCGUUGCGUAUUACGCACCUCCACU
rfam:Dictyostelium discoideum AX4 chromosome 3, whole genome shotgun sequence.